CAGUAGCCGCGGUAAUACGAAGGGGGCUAGCGUUGUUCGGAAUUACUGGGCGUAAAGCGCACGUAGGCGGACAUUUAAGUCAGGGGUGAAAUCCCGGGGCUCAACCCCGGAACUGCCUUUGAUACUGGGUGUCUAGAGUAUGGAAGAGGUGAGUGGAAUUCCGAGUGUAGAGGUGAAAUUCGUAGAUAUUCGGAGGAACACCAGUGGCGAAGGCGGCUCACUGGUCCAUUACUGACGCUGAGGUGCGAAAGCGUGGGGAGCAAACAGGAUUAGAGACCCCUGUAGUCCCUGUCUCUUAUAC
rnacentral:rRNA from 1 species